GCUCGGGUGGCGGAACAGGUAGACGCGCGGGACUUAAAAUCCCGUUUCCCUAAAGGAAGUACGGGUUCGAUUCCCGUCUCGAGCA
rnacentral:tRNA from 1 species